GGUGUUAGCGUGUGGCCGGGUCGUCUCCGACGGCCCACCGACCCUUCAGCGAAGCCGGUGAGAAUCCGGCGCUGUCCCGCAACGGUGAUGCCCGUCCUCCUCGACGGUCUCAGCCCGGUCGCCUGGAGCAGUCGGUCACC
rnacentral:ncRNA from 2 species